UACGGAGGGUGCAAGCGUUGUCCGGAUUUAUUGGGUUUAAAGGGUGCGUAGGCGGCUCUAUAAGUCAGUGGUGAAAUACUUGAGCUUAACUUAAGAACUGCCAUUGAUACUGUAGAGCUUGAGUACUGACGAGGUAGGCGGAAUCGACAGUGUAGCGGUGAAAUGCAUAGAUAUUGUCAAGAACACCGAUAGCGAAGGCAGCUUACUAGAGAGUAACUGACGCUGAGGCACGAAAGCGUGGGGAUCAAACAGG
rnacentral:rRNA from 1 species